rnacentral:rRNA from 1 species
UGGAUCCAGACUUUGAUCCUGGCUCAGGACGAACGCUGGCGGCGUGCUUAACACAUGCAAGUCGAACGGAGAACUUAUUUCGGUAAGUUCUUAGUGGCGAACGGGUGAGUAACGCGUGGGCAACCUGCCCUCCAGUUGGGGACAACAUUCCGAAAGGGAUGCUAAUACCGAAUGUGCUCCCUCCUCCGCAUGGAGGAGGGAGGAAAGAUGGCCUCUGCUUGCAAGCUAUCGCUGGAAGAUGGGCCCGCGUCUGAUUAGCUAGUUGGUGGGGUAACGGCUCACCAAGGCGAUGAUCAGUAGCCGGUCUAAGAGGAUGAACGGCCACAUUGGGACUGAGACACGGCCCAAACUCCUACGGGAGGCAGCAGUGGGGAAUCUUCCGCAAUGGACGAAAGUCUGACGGAGCAACGCCGCGUGAGUGAUGAAGGUCUUCGGAUUGUAAAACUCUGUUGUUAGGGACGAAAGCACCGUGUUCGAACAGGUCAUGGUGUUGACGGUACCUAACGAGGAAGCCACGGCUAACUACGUGCCAGCAGCCGCGGUAAUACGUAGGUGGCAAGCGUUGUCCGGAAUUAUUGGGCGUAAAGAGCAUGUAGGCGGGCUUUUAAGUCUGACGUGAAAAUGCGGGGCUUAACCCCGUAUGGCGUUGGAUACUGGAAGUCUUGAGUGCAGGAGAGGAAAGGGGAAUUCCCAGUGUAGCGGUGAAAUGCGUAGAUAUUGGGAGGAACACCAGUGGCGAAGGCGCCUUUCUGGACUGUGUCUGACGCUGAGAUGCGAAAGCCAGGGUAGCAAACGGGAUUAGAUACCCCGGUAGUCCUGGCCGUAAACGAUGGAUACUAGGUGUAGGAGGUAUCGACCCCUUCUGUGCCGGAGUUAACGCAAUAAGUAUCCCGCCUGGGGACUACGAUCGCAAGAUUGCAACUCAAAUGAAUUGACGGA